rnacentral:rRNA from 1 species
AUGGCGAGUCUCCUUUCCUCGUCCGUGCUCCUGCCCGUCGGCCACCCCACCUCCCGCUGCAGCGCCGGCGGCCGCCUCCUCUCCACCAAGGUGGGCUGGGGCCUCCUCUCCUUCGCCGCGCCGGAGGACACCAAGGUCUGCGGCCUCCUCCCGGUCCCGGCGACCUCACGCGGGAGCGCUCACGUGGUGCUCGCGGUGCCGGAGGGCUUCCUCUCCUUCGAGGCGCCGGAGGACACCAAGGUCGUCUGGGGCCUCCUCCCGGCCAACACAACCAAGGCCACGCGCGGUAACGGCAUCGUCGCGCUCGCGGUGCCGGAGGGCGCUUCGGGCGGCUGGGGCCUCCUCCCGGCCAACGCCACCAAGACCUCGCGCGGCGUCCUGGCGCUCGCGGUGCCGCCGGGCAACGCAACGAAGACCACCCGAGGGAACGGCGUCGUGGCGUUCGCGUGGCCGGAGGAGGGCGCCAACCGCUGGAGCGGCUGGGGACCCCUCCCGGAGGGCGCGCCGGCGGAAGAUGUCAAGGCCUUCUACGCUCAGGAUUUCAUCAAUCGUGUUGACAAGAUUGGCACCAUCAACAGCUACGCCCUUUUUGGGCACGCCGACAUCCUGGAGGUUGCGGCGGAGGCCGCCGAGAGGUGCAUCCAGGUGGUUCACCUACUUCAACCAGUGCUGGUGGAUGAGUUCGCGAGCCGCCCUCGAGCCAAGACUGUGGUCGGGGUCACCACAACCCUGAGCGUUCGCCUGGUCGAACAUUGCCGGAUCGUGUUGUCUGAGUGUGAGGAGGGUUACGUCCGGGAGCAUCCGCUGCGCGAAGCCUUUUACGGUCUCAAUGCCCUCAAUCGAACUGGCUACCCCAAGCCCGCCCUCGUCACCGCGUCCCGGACAGAGGCGGAGAAGGUGGCCUACUUCAAGCAUCUGGCGGAUGAGUUCAAGGAGCUGGCCCUCGAGGUAGAGGCGUCCGUCAACGAGUGGAACGACUCUGGCAAGUCGGCUGGGUGGUUCGAUCAGCCCGUGAAGAUGCGGUCCGACGACUAG